CAAACACACGCCGCGUGUGUGUGUGUGUGUGGAUAUAUCUAUCUAUAUAUCUAUAUAUAUAUAUAUAUCCAUAUAUAUAUAUAUAGAUAGAUAUAUCCACACACACACACUGCUGUGUGUGCUGU